rnacentral:rRNA from 1 species
UACGUAGGAUGCAAGCGUUGUCCGGAAUUAUUGGGCGUAAAGAGCGAGCAGGCGGUUUGGAAAGUUGGACGUGAAAUUUUAGGGCUUAACCCUAAAGGGUCGUCCAAAACUCCCAGACUAGAGUGCAGGAGAGGAAAGCGGAAUUCCCGGUGUAGUGGUGAAAUGCGUAGAUAUCGGGAGGAACACCAGAGGCGAAGGCGGCUUUCUGGCCUGUAACUGACGCUGAGGAGCGAAGGCUGGGGUAGCGAACAGG